UACAGAGACUGCAAGCGUUAUUCGGAUUCACUGGGCGUAAAGGGUGCGCAGGCGGCCGUGUGUGUCAGGUGUGAAAGCCCGGAGCUUAACUCCGGAAUUGCGCCUGAAACUACAUGGCUAGAGCAUUGGAGAGGGUAGCGGAAUUCACGGUGUAGCAGUGAAAUACGUAGAUAUCGUGAGGAACACCAGAGGCGAAGGCGGCUACCUGGACAAUUGCUGACGCUCAGGCACGAAAGCGUGGGGAGCAAAAGGG
rnacentral:rRNA from 1 species